AGGGGAAUGGCAGAAGUUCUAAGCUGUGCCCCACUGGGCAGAAGGAGCCUUCUCCUGAUGUCAUUGACUCAUCUAUCAUCCUGCUUUCUUUGGGAGGGGGAAUACAGCCAUUGGAUGGCAAUUACUGAUGGAGCAUAAAGAACAGAGCUAAAGAUGGUCAAAAGAAGAAAACAGAGCUGGUGUGGGAUGAGGUCAAAGGAAGGAAAAAUUGUCCAGAGAAGAAAACUGCAAUGACCUAAUUCACAAAAGAAAAUGAACCAACCACAGCCAGGGCUCUUGAAACUUCCUGGAGACACUGAUGCGCUUGAGGACGUGAUUGAGCUUCCUCAUGGAGGGCCUGUCAUCUGUCGACUUCUGGA